GUAUAGCAGCUGAUAAUACAUUGAACGUGCGUGCAGCAUGCCGCUCGAGUCAAGAACCGGUUGCAUCGGUUUUCGGAUCACCAGUAUACUGAACUUAGAACCGUUUCUUUCAGACAUGUCCGAUUUGAGAACCGAUGAGCUGAUGAUACUGCGCAUGCGUG